rnacentral:rRNA from 1 species
CCUACGGGUGGCAGCAGUCGAGAAUCAUUCACAAUGGGGGAAACCCUGAUGGUGCGACGCCGCGUGGGGGAAUGAAGGUCUUCGGAUUGUAAACCCCUGUCAUGUGGGAGCAAAUUAAAAAGAUAGUACCACAAGAGGAAGAGACGGCUAACUCUGUGCAAGCAGCCGCGGUAAUACAGAGGUCUCAAGCGUUGUUCGGAACCACUGGGCGUAAAGCGUGCGUAGGCUGUUUCGUAAGUCGUGUGUGAAAGGCGCGGGCUCAACCCGCGGACGGCACAUGAUACUGCGAGACUAGAGUAAGGGAGGGGGAACCGGAAUUCUCGGUGUAGCAGUGAAAUGCGUAGAUAUCGAGAGGAACACUCGUGGCGAAGGCGGGUUCCUGGACAUUAACUGACGCUGAGGCACGAAGGCCAGGGGAGCGAAAGGGAUUAGAUACCCCGGUAGUC